CGCGGCCUAUCAGCUUGUUGGUGGGGUAGUGGCCCACCAAGGCGACGACGGGUAGCCGGCCUGAGAGGGUGACCGGCCACACUGGGACUGAGACACGGCCCAGACUCCUACGGGAGGCAGCAGUGGGGAAUAUUGCGCAAUGGGCGGAAGCCUGACGCAGCGACGCCGCGUGGGGGAUGACGGCAUUCGGGUUGUAAACCUCUUUCAGCAGGGACGAAGCGCAAGUGACGGUACCUGCAGAAGAAGCGCCGGCCAACUACGUGCCAGCAGCCGCGGUAAUACGUAGGGUGCAAGCGUUGUCCGGAAUUAUUGGGCGUAAAGAGCUCGUAGGCGGUUGGUCGCGUCGGCUGUGAAAACCCGGAGCUCAACUCCGGGCCUGCAGUCGAUACGGGCCGACUCGAGUGUUGCAGGGGAGACUGGAAUUCCUGGUGUAGCGGUGAAAUGCGCAGAUAUCAGGAGGAACACCGGUGGCGAAGGCGGGUCUCUGGGCAACAACUGACGCUGAGGAGCGAAAGCGUGGGGAGCGAACAGGAUUAGAUACCCUGGUAGUCCACGCCGUAAACGUUGGGCGCUAGGUGUGGGGGCCAUUCCACGGUCUCCGUGCCGCAGCUAACGCAUUAAGCGCCCCGCCUGGGGAGUACGG
rnacentral:rRNA from 1 species